AUUAAAAGGGGAACUGAAAAAAAAAAAAAAAAAAAAAAACAAUAAAUCUUUUUUGUUUAUUUGAAUGGGUUUCCUCUUCUCUUUCUC
rnacentral:ribozyme from 13 species